rnacentral:tRNA from 1 species
GAGCACAUGGCUAAAGUUUUAAGUUGCAUUUGGCCUGUAACCCAAAGGUUGCUGGUUCAAACCCUGCUGUGGUCG